UGUACGUGGACUGUAGAAACCAGUACCUCCGAACCAACGAGAGAUAUUCUGUUCCUGGAUUAAAUGGCUCCCUCUAGAAGUGAGCCUGAGCAGGCGAGUCGCAGGCAUCGGCCGUCUCUUCCUAAACGGAUCACUUGAAGUGAUCGCGUGUCUUUCUCUUGGCUUCUGUAGCCUCUCUGCUCAUCCGUCUCGCUCUCUAUAAUAACCCAUUCCCACUCUGUCUCUCUCCUUAAUCUGUGAUUCAAUCCCGUUUUCAAUUCCCGUUUUCACGUGAUGUUGAUGAUCUCGAAACGCGGCUUAAUCUACCGUUGCUCUCGGGGCAGAGCAGCCCGACGCGUCCAUGCCGGCGUGUUUGCAUUAGCCGACUACAAAGGAGGCUCGGCCCCGUCGGAGACCGCCACGCACAAAGAAACAGCGGCACAAACAGCUUACCAAGUCCGCUGGAGAUGACUGAGGAAGCACGUCAGCAGCCAUGAAGGGGAUAUAUUCUUUCUUUGCAAUGUUACCCGACUACAAAGGGAACAGGUAGACACACUGACAAGGAUGGACGGGACGAACAACGAAUGGGAGACGGACAGAAAGGGAGAGUCUGCUGCUUUCUCUACGACACAUGUCCGCUCCCCCAUUGUUCUCGAACGCUGCCGGCGAGCACUUUUACAAAGGGAUGGUGCUGCCGGCGGGUAACAGGAGCUGGCUCUGUGUUUAAGAGAUGUGUCUUUACUUCGAGACGCUGGAUGGAAAUGGUACAUAGAAAAAAGAACACAAGUUCUUAAUCGCUCAUAAAGUGAGGGAGCGUGUUGUCGAUAACUAAAGUGUGAUGAAUAGCGAUACGGUGGAAAAAAAGCCUUUUUGAGAACAACACAGGAGAAUUUAAUUCAGUUUAUUUUAUAUAGCUCAAUAUCACAAAUUACGAAUCAGUACACAUACGGCAUCCCUGUCCCAGGACCUCACAUUGGUUCAAUCUCACCAAUGCACGUUCUUUUUUACAGGUAUACCGUAUCACCAAACGACUUUCAGAUGGUUAAGAUCCAUCAGCUUCUGGACCAGACGAUCCAUUCCUGAACAGCUGGUUGGUUGACGGGCGAUCACCACGGGCAACUAUAAACUCAGCCCCCGCUGAUUGGUGAAAAGCAAUCGGAAGAAGAUCUGUCUUUUUAUCAGCGGGUUGGCGGUUCAAUCCCCGCCCUAGUCGAUGUGUCCUUGAGCAAGAGACCUUCUAACCACUGACCCACAGUCACCCCAUUCUCACUUAAACCUGAGUUGCUCCUGGUAAAUCCUGAAUCUUGUUGUCUGAAGUCCAACCAUGUAUUUGUAAUGUCUCUCUACGAGUUUCUUCGGGUCCUCGUGACGACUUCGUCGUAGAGGAACCGAUUGUUUUUCUAAGAGUUAUUAUUCCCUUUCUUCUCUUGCAACGAAAGUGUUUUUGGGGCCUUUAUCAUAUCCCAAACGUUGUCAAAUUUGACAUGCAAAUCAGGACUGGUGAAAAAUUUGAUAUUUUAGAGGUCUUGCAUUUGGGUACAAAGAAAUUGCUGUAUAGCGUGCCGUUGCACUAGAAAGGCUGCUAUUUUUGAAAACUAUGACCGAUUGUUCUGAAAUUUGCCAUACAGAUUCACUUGGACCUGCUCUACAAAUAAGGUAAUGGUGGCCAUCAAAUGCACCUCCUUAGAUUUUCCGCCAUUUUGAAUUUUGUAAAAAAAAAAAAAUUUCACAUUUCUCAAAAACGCUUUGUCGGAUUCAUACGAAGAUCUUGUUGAUAUCUUAUUGCGUUCAGAGGAUAUGAACCAAUGAACAUUUAAGGGGUGUGGCCUAAUAUUUGGAGUCACACAACUUCUAAAUUAUUUAGCCUUUCCUCACCAAAUUGCUAGCCUAUGUCCAUAUGGCAUCCCUUAACGUACCCUAUUCUUUUCAGAAUAUUUGACCAUGAGGGGGCGUUGAAAGUAAUGCCUCAAUAUCUGCAUUUUUUGCCAUUUUUAGCCUUUUUUCAUGUUUUGGGCAGUUGUAAAACAGUUAACUCCACCUAGAGGAUACUCUCCCAAACUUCUCUGCUGUAGCAUCUCCCAUCACCGACUCAGGGGGAAGUGGAGAGAACAAGCUGAACAGGCCUUUCAGGGAAAUGAUUGCUAAGACAGAUGCAUCAGAGGUGGGCAUAGGGGCAGAACUCUCCCAGGAAGCUAUGUUGUUGAUAACGUAGCCAAGUUAAAUACAAGCGAUAGCGCACUGGAGUCAUUCUUUAACAGCAGUGAGAUGACUGCAGCGGAGAAACACUCAGCGGUCGAGGUUUGUGUCACAGUCAGCGGUGACGCUGGUCGUUGUGAUAUGGCGCCCUGUAAGUAUACGUGUGCGAGGUGACAUGAUGGCUCACAAAAGACCGAAGUUACUUACACCGUUACCACGGCGAUUUCACUUCCUCCCUUCCUUCACUUUUGUUCACAUUCUGUCAAACGGAAAGGGGAAAAAAAAUCACAAGAUCAAGGCUGCAAUAAAAAGACUGAAAUUCGAAUGACGAGAUGCUGGGAACAAUAAGAUGAAGACGCAUCGAGGGGAAAGGUUUCCACUUCACGCCGGUACAUUCAUUCACGCCUGAAUGUUUUGACGUGAGGACAUUGCUCCCUUUGUUUUUCUCUGUCUUCUCUUAUAACUAGGUAUGUAAUCUUUGGCAAAUAAGAUAUCUGAAAAUGAUUUAUUACAAGUAAGUAAAGUUAUUGCUCCAGUGUGUAGUUACAACAAUUGUGAAUGGGGACCCCAUGAGGUCAUUUUCAGUUUCAUACUUUUUGGGUGUUCACUAGAACAUAAAGCUGUAUUCAUCUUCUGUUUCUUGGAGGUCGCCACCCCAAUGGAGUCCAUGUCGCUUGCAAGAGAAACAGGGAGCAGCUUCACAAAGUCAGUUCUCAAGAGCUGAACGAGAGAUGGAGACAUUCAGAGGCUUCGGUCGGACUAACUGGAUAAACAAAUAUGAAUUAACAGUCAGCUCACGGCCGCUCCGGAUAAGAGGAGCUGAAGGAGUUCAUCUCCAGUGGCAAAAGACAAGGUUUUACCUCAUAGCAGCAGAAAGACCAGGACUACUUCAGUCCCGAGUGAGUCUCAUUGCUCUUUCAAACACAAGGACGCAGUGCAGAGGAAACUGGAACGAUCCCAGGCUGUCCAUCAAGCCCCGAUGGACCAACAGGGAAGUGUAAACAGGAAGGAGAUUGGCUGCUUAGUCACAGAAAAAAGGACAAAAUGAUAUAAUCAUCUUUAAUAAUGAGAGGUAGCACUUAACACGACGUCUUCCUCUUAAAUGUUUCCUCUAUGAAUUAAAACACACGUUUUGUGGAAUGUUUUAGAAGUUUUCUUUUUCAGACACAAUUUACUUCAAGAUGAAAAGUUAACUUGAUCAUGGGGUCGAUAGAUUUGGUCAUCAAACGUCUUUCUGUCACGGCCAACACAAUGUAUGUGUGUGUGUGCGUAUGUGUGUAUCGCUUUUCAUGAAUAAAAAUAUAAUUAUUUAAUAAAUCAA